CCUACGGGUGGCUGCAGUGAGGAAUAUUGGUCAAUGGGCGAGAUCCUGAACCAGCCAAGCCGCGUGAGGGAAGACGGCCCUAUGGGUUGUAAACCUCUUUUGUCAGAGAACAAAGCCCGGGACGUGUCCCGUUCUGCAUGUAUCCUAUGAAAAAGCAUCGGCUAACUCCGUGCCAGCAGCCGCGGUAAUACGGAGGAUGCGAGCGUUAUCCGGAUUUAUUGGGUUUAAAGGGUGCGUAGGCGGUCCUUUAAGUCAGCGGUAAAAUUGUGGGGCUCAACCCCAUAGGUGCCGUUGAAACGGGGAGGCUUCAGUAUGUUUGAGGCAGGCGGAAUGCGGGGUGUAGCGGGGAGAGGCUUAGGUAGCACGCAGAAGCCGGAUUGCGAAGGCAGCCUGCGAAGCCAUGAAUGACGCUGAUGCACGAAAGCGUGGGGAUAAAACAGGAUUAGAUACCGCUGUAGUC
rnacentral:rRNA from 1 species